rnacentral:rRNA from 1 species
ACUCAAAGGAAUUGACGGGGGCCCGCACAAGCGGUGGAGCAUGUGGUUUAAUUCGAAGCAACGCGAAGAACCUUACCAAGGCUUGACAUGAGGGUGAUCGGUACAGAGAUGUAUCUUCUCCUCGGAGCACCCUACACAGGUGGUGCAUGGUUGUCGUCAGCUCGUGUCGUGAGAUGUUGGGUUAAGUCCCGCAACGAGCGCAACCCUUACGUUCAGUUGCCAGCGAAUAGAGUCGGGCACACUGGAGGGACUGCCGUGGAUAACACGGAGGAAGGUGGGGAUGAUGUCAAAUCAUCAUGCCCCUUAUGUCUUGGGCUACACACGUGCUACAAUGGUAUUCUACAGCGUGAAGCGAGACCGUGAGGUGGAGCGGAUCAAGAAAAGAAGCCCCAGUUCGGAUUGCAGGCUGCAACUCGCCUGCAUGAAGUUGGAAUCGCUAGUAAUCGCGAAUCAUCAUGUCGCGGUGAAUACGUUCCCGGGCCUUGUACACACCGCCCGU